UACGUAGGGGGCUAGAGUUAUCCGGAAUUACUGGGCGUAAAGGGUGCGUAGGUGGUUUCUUAAGUCAGAGGUGAAAGGCUACGGCUCAACCGUAGUAAGCCUUUGAAACUGGGAAACUUGAGUGCAGGAGAGGAGAGUGGAAUUCCUAGUGUAGCGGUGAAAUGCGUAGAUAUUAGGGGGAACACCAGUUGCGAAGGCGGCUCUCUGGUCUGUAACUGACACUGAGGCGCGAAAGCGUGGGGAGCAAACAGGAUUAGAUACCCCUGUAGUCCCUGAGCGGGCU
rnacentral:rRNA from 1 species